CUGUCACAUCAGUCAUGUUUUCAUAGCUUGUAUCUCUUAGCUAGCAUUUUCAUUUGAGCUCUUGAUAUGUAUACAUAUCUCUCUAGUGGAUCAUUCUUCAGUCUUUAAGAGGCUACCUAACCAUAAUUUACUUCAACGCCUGUUCUUUUCCUUCAGUCUUAUUGUCUAUUUCACAAGUUUUAUUUACCUUAGGAUGUCUGUUAGAUUUCUAGAUCACUGGCACAGUAGUCUGAGUCAUCUUCAAUUCAUAGGGAUUUUUCGAAUGUAAAGGAUGUGGAAUAUUCCAGCUCUGUUCCUACUAGUCUCUUUAGCAUAUGGUUUCUGUUCUAAACCACACUAUUCAAAUGUAAUAUUAAUGAUGAAUAAAUAUUUUCAUACUUUUCCAGUUUUCUGAUUGAAGAAAUUUCCUCAGUCCCUUCCCAUGUUCUUUUAUAAAUAAAAGUCAAUAGAUUUCUUUUUUGGUUAGAGAGUUACCAAACUUAUUAAAAUAGCAUGUAGGACUCACUAUUGACUAAUGCCUAUUUAUGAAUAUAUUUUCUCUGUUGAGAGACAUCUGGGUUCUUUCCAGCUUCUGUCUAUUAUAAAUAAGGCUGCUAUGGACAUAGUGGAGUAUGUGUCCUUAUUACCAGUUGGAACUUCUUCUGGGUAUAUGCCCAGGAGAGGUAUUGCUGGAUCUUCUGAUAGUACUAUGUCCAAUUUUCUGAGGAAUCGCCAGACUGAUUUCAAGAAUGGUUGUACAAGCUUGCAAUCCCACCGGCGUUGGAUACAGAAAAUGUGGUACACUUACAUAAUGGAGUACUACUCAGCUAUUAAAAACAAUGAAUUUAUGAAAUUCUUGGGCAAAUAGAUGUAUCUGGAGGAUAUCAUCCUUAGUGAGGUAACCCAAUAACAAAAGAAGUCACUUGAUAUGCACUCACUGAUAAGGGGAUAUUAGCCCAGAAACUUAGAAUACCCAAGAUACAUUUUGCAAAACACAAGAAAAUCAAGAAGAAUGAAGACCAAAGUGUGGAUACUUCAUUCCUCCUUAUAAUAGGGAACAAAACACCCAUGGAAGGAGUUGCAGAGACAAAGUUUGGAGCUAAGAUGAAAGGAUGGACCAUCCAGAGACUACCCCACUAGGGGACCCAUCACAUAAUCAGCCACCAAACGCAGACACUAUUGCAUAUGCCAGCAAGAUUUUGCUGAAAGGACCCUGAUAUAGCUGUCUCAUGUGAGGCCAUGCCAAUGCCUGGCAAAUACAGAAGUAGAUGCUCACAGUCAUCUAUAAGAUGGAACACAGGGCCCCAAUGGAGGUUCUAGACAAAGUACCCAAGGAGCUGAAGGGGUCUACAACCCUAUAGGUGGAAUAAUAGUAUAAACUAACCAGUACCCUCAGACCUCGUGUCUCUAGCUGCAUAUGUAUCAGAAGAUGGCAUAAUCGGCCAUCAUUGGAAAGAGAGGCCCCUUGGUAUUGCAAACUUUAUAUGCCCCAGUACAGGGGAAUGCCAGGGCCAAUAAGUGGGAGUGGGUGGGUAGGGGAGCAGGUCAGGGGAAGGGUAUAGGGAACUUUCAGGAUAGCAUUUGAAAUGUAAAUAAAGAAAAUAUCUAAUAAAAAAUAAAUAUAUUUUCUCUCUCUUUCUACUUCUUUAGUUCAGAAACAGAAAUACAGAGGUAUUUUCAGUACUCCAUGGACUUUGAGAGCUAGAGCAGUUAACUUCAGUUAAAAUGUAAGCCACUCCCUUCGAUUAUCUGAUUAUGUUUGAUCAUUUAGGAUGUGCUCACAACCUCUUCAGCACCUGACAGUUUAUUCUAACCUAGGGAAUCAGAACCUGUGUAUACACAGAGGAAAAAACUCAGUUAUGUUGUGUUACUUCCUAUUUUCUAGUGAAGAAUGCUAAUAAAUUGAGUCACAAGGAAACCAAAAGGGUUAAAAGCAUUAUAUUCCAGCUUGGCUCAUUUACAGAGCCCAGAUCCCUGGGACACCAGCCUAGAAGUUGCUGAGAAGGUGUGGUCUGGUAAGGAUAUGUGCAUGUUGAUUGUACUAAAAGUGUGUAGAUAAAGAUGAGUAUCUCCCAACAUGUUAGUGGGCUACAUCCAGUCUGCAGGGGGAAUUCUGAUUCUCCACAGCUUCUGGGCUUACCUGCCUCAUUAUCUCCUCACAGUGUACCUAGCUUGCUAUUAUUCCUGGAAAUCUGGCCUGUGCCAUACUGGAUUGCAUGUGAAAAAUAAGCCAGUUUUUUUUCUGUAUGAUUUUUCCUCAUAAUUCAUUACUGAGCUUUCUAUCCCUGUGAAAAUAUCUGAGGUAAACAACUUAGGAGGAGGAGGGGCUAAUAAUGACUGAGGAACCUUGGAAAUUUUAGCCUGUGUUUGCUUAGCCUUACUUUGGAACUGUGGCCACAUGGUGACUCUAUUUGCAGAGGUGUGGCACGAGGUAUUAGCCUCAGUGGCGCUGAGAAGCAAAGGAAGGUAGCCAGAAAGAGGAAGGGGUGACAAUAUCACUUCCAAGUACUUGUGUUCAGUGCCUUCUCUUUCUCCUGCUAUGUUGUAUUUCCUGAGGUCUUGUCUCCCAUUGGCUCUGUGGGAUGGUGGUUAGGCUUCCAUAGGCUCUGGAGAGCAUUGAAGAAGGACAUGUUAUCGAAGGGAAAGGAGGUGGAAAAUAUAUAAGGGUAUGGGUAUACAGACUCUCAUGAAGGAUGCACAUUAAGUAGUCAGCAUAAGAGAGAGAUUAGCUUCAUUUCAAUAGGACGGAGGAAGAUCAAAUCUAGCAAGGGCUUGGUGGCUAAAGGUUCCUCCUGACAAGGUUGAUCACCUGAUUUUAGUCUGAGACUCAUAUAGUUCUGCAGUGAAACCACUCCUGUAGAUUUUCCUCUGAUAUCACAGGUGUACAGUGUCACUUGCUGCCUGCCACUUCUAUAUGCAUGCCUGCAUACAUACAUACAUACAAAAUAAAUAAAUGUAAUGAAACUUUACAUGUUUUUGGAACCUGUAUUUUUGUAAGUUUAAUUGGGAUUGUAUACAUUAGUAUAUAAAACUUUAAGGUAAAAAAAGACACUAAAUUGAAUUUAUAUUUAAUAUGCUUCAUUAACAGUUGAUAGUUUGUUACAACUAGAAUGAGAAAGUUACAUAAUUUGAGUUCAGUUGACUCAGUAAGCGCAUUGGCUAUCUGUACUUUUUCAGAUAGUGAGAUAUGAUAAAAUGACGGUGGGUAUGGGGGCAAGCUCUCUGGCUUCCAGUUGCUUUAUUAAAAGUUCCUAAUUCAUCCAUUAGUAAUUUGAAUAUGAUUACCUUCACCUUCGUUUUCUAUGUGAAGCAUGCUAAAGUUGAGAAAGAUGAUAUGUUUUCCUUAAGAUCUGCCAUAUCUUACAGGGUAUCAGUGUAAAGCAAAGAAGGCUAUUUCCUGUUAUCUUACUCCUUUGCCAUAGAACAAUGUUUCUGGCAAAUUGAUGUCCAAAAGGUAGCGGUGCUUGGCUUAGCAUUAGAGCCAAAUAUUAUUUGGACGUACUGUGUAUUCAUUCAUGGCUCACCAGUCUGUGCAUUUGGCUAGCUGUCUGAGUGGCACCAUACAAAGUGGGCUACAACUGUUGAAUCCGUGGAAAUCACACUAUCUGUGUCAAUCGAGUACCUUGGAGGAGCUCAGGUUUUCUCAUUUAUAUCUUAUUUGUAAAUUACUGGUCCAAGUUACACACCUUAUAAUUUCUGCUCUGGCCCAACAGAAAGAGGCACGGGUAUCCCAAAUUCAAAGACACCCCUAUAUUAGCUACAGUGGAAUGUUAUGUGAACAAGUAGAGGCUGAAUCAGGAAAACAGAUGGAUGACUGUCAUGCAUUAUAAUUGCAAUAAUCCAGAUGUUUUACUCCCAGUACUUCUUGUGACCGAUAAAAAUCUCAACCAUGGAACUAGAAUACCAUAAAUAUCUCAGUUUAGUAUAACAUUCCCUGCGUUUCCCUCCAUAAGAAUACAUGUUUACAAGCUAACUGGCCGUUUACCUUAACAGGGCCCUAACAACUAACUCUAGUGUUUUUUGUUUGUUUGAUUGAUUGAUUGAUUAUUUUGUGUGUUGGAGAAUCUACUUGUAUUAAUUUCAUCAAAUCCAUUUUUAUAUAUUUCAUCUGAGCUAGAUUUAUCUAUUAUGAAUGACAAAAACAUGAGAACAUUUCCAAGGAAGGGGGAACUAGAUCCAACCUUUGGAGCUAAAUGAAAAGACAGAAAAAGUUUUUCCUGGUUGUAUGAAUUAUAACAUGAUAAGAAGGUUCCAUAACCCUUUUAAACCCUAAUGAGAGAAGUUGAAUUUAAGCCAGAAUAAAGUUUUAUGCAAUUAUAAUUCCAUUUUACUAUUCAUCCCAAAGGAAGAAAGAACAUACUCUCUGAGAAUGUCUUAUCUACUAAUCAAUUAUAUUUCACUGCCAAAUAUAUAAAAAUCAGAAUGACAUUUUUAAAGGAUAUAUGCAUUUUAAUGCAUAACAAGAAGAGAGAAUUUCUGUAGGUGGAGAUUUUGCCCCCCUUGAGAGAAUGGCUCUUAGUGUGGUGCCAUAUUGUCACAUUUAAAUGAAUGGCACCACAUAAAAUGGCUGGUCCAUAGCACUAAGUGACCAGCCAAAGUAGGUAACACAAUUAGCAAUUAAUUUUCAUUUCUUCUCCAUAUUCAUCAGGAGAAAUCUUUAGUGAUAUCUCUAAUUCAUUUCACUUGAGAAAUAUUCAUAAUGCUAUUGAAAGGUGACAUGAACAAGAAAAUCCAUUACCAUAAUAGUCAAGAUACAUAACUUACACAUUAUGAAGGUCUCAAUAUUCUGGUGAUGCUUACCCUCAGUGAUUCAUUUACAUACUUUUUGCUUAAUCCUUAAUAUACAUGAGGCUUUCUGGAAGUUAAGACAUGCUGGGUACUAGGCAAGUAGAAUUUCUUUCUUUUAUUUAUUUUACCUUUGAUUUUCUCCCCAACACACACGCGCGCGCACACACACACACACACACACACACACACACACACACAUUUAGCCUUCCCUUGAAUACAAAGAUGGAGAACUCCCUGUGAUGCAAAAGACCCAAAAUAAUGAUCACUAUUUUCCUUAAACUUUACUUCCUUUUCCCACUAAUAUCUGAGACAUAUUUUGUAAGGAGCAGAACCUAUUAGUGUGUCAUAAGAGAAUAACAGCACACACACAACAAUUUAAAAAUCAGUAAGAUGUCUUAGAGGGUGGAGGUGCCUGCCAUCAAAGUUG
rnacentral:lncRNA from 1 species